CUGAUCACUGGGGAGUGGCAGUGCAUUCCCAGGCAGCUGGGAGCUGCUUAGUGACUUCAGCACAGCAUCAGUUCAGGCCCCCACUGAACAAA